GACGGACCAUCCAAACGUUAUUCGGAAUUACUGGGCUUAAAGGGUGCGUAGGCGGCGCGGAAAGUUGGGUGUGAAAUCCCUCGGCUUAACCGAGGAAUGGCGCUCAAAACUACCGUGCUUGAGGAAGACAGAGGUGAGCGGAACUUAGGGUGGAGCGGUGAAAUGCGUUGAUAUCCUAAGGAACACCGGUGGCGAAAGCGGCUCACUGGGUCUUUUCUGACGCUGAGGCACGAAAGCCAGGGUAGCGAACGGG
rnacentral:rRNA from 2 species